rnacentral:rRNA from 1 species
AACGAACGCUGGCGGCAUGCCUAACACAUGCAAGUCGAACGAGACCUUCGGGUCUAGUGGCGCACGGGUGCGUAACGCGUGGGAACCUGCCCUUAGGUUCGGAAUAACUCCCCGAAAGGGGUGCUAAUACCGGAUAAUGUCUUCGGACCAAAGAUUUAUCGCCUUUGGAUGGGCCCGCGUUGGAUUAGCUAGUUGGUAGGGUAAAAGCCUACCAAGGCGACGAUCCAUAGCUGGUCUGAGAGGAUGAUCAGCCACACUGGGACUGAGACACGGCCCAGACUCCUACGGGAGGCAGCAGUGGGGAAUAUUGGACAAUGGGCGAAAGCCUGAUCCAGCAAUGCCGCGUGAGUGAUGAAGGCCUUAGGGUGGUAAAGCUCUUUUACCCGGGAUGAUAAUGACAGUACCGGGAGAAUAAGCUCCGGCGAACUCCGG